GACGAACGCUGGCGGCGUGCUUAACACAUGCAAGUCGAACGGUGAACCAGAGCUUGCUCUGGGGAUCAGUGGCGAACGGGUGAGUAACACGUGGGCAACCUGCCCCAGACUCUGGGAUAACCCCGGGAAACCGGAGCUAAUACCGGAUAUGACCACUUCGGACAUCCGAUGGUGGUGGAAAGUUUUUCGGUCUGGGAUGGGCCCGCGGCCUAUCAGCUAGUUGGUGGGGUAAUGGCCUACCAAGGCGACGACGGGUAGCCGGCCUGAGAGGGCGACCGGCCACACUGGAACUGAGACACGGUCCAGACUCCUACGGGAGGCAGCAGUGGGGAAUAUUGCACAAUGGGCGAAAGCCUGAUGCAGCGACGCCGCGUGAGGGAUGACGGCCUCGGUUGGUAACCUCUUCAUAGGACGAAGACGCAAGUAGACGGUACC
rnacentral:rRNA from 1 species